rnacentral:rRNA from 1 species
GGUAGUCCACGCCGUAAACGAUGGCCACUCGGCCUUUGGGGGCGGAAUCUCCGUCGCUGGGGGCCUUAGCUAACGCGGGAAGUGGCCCGCCUGGGAACUACGAGCGCAAGCUUAAAACUCAAAGGAAUUGACGGGGCCCGCACAAGCAGCGGAGCGUGUGGUUUAAUUCGACGCAACGCGCAGAACCUUACCCAGGUUUGACAUGCCCCUGCACGCCGCUGAAAGGCGGCCGCCUUCGAGGGUGGGGCACAGAUGCUGCAUGGCUGUCGUCAGCUCGUGCCGUGAGAUGUUGGGUUAAG